rnacentral:rRNA from 2 species
AGAUUAAGUUAUUAAGGGCGCACGGUGGAUGCCUUGGCACUAGAAGCCGAUGAAGGACGUUACUAACGACGAUAUGCUUUGGGGAGCUGUAAGUAAGCUUUGAUCCAGAGAUUUCCGAAUGGGGAAACCCAGCAUGAGUUAUGUCAUGUUAUCGAUAUGUGAAUACAUAGCAUAUCAGAAGGCACACCCGGAGAACUGAAACAUCUUAGUACCCGGAGGAAGAGAAAGAAAAUUCGAUUCCCUUAGUAGCGGCGAGCGAAACGGGAAGAGCCCAAACCAACAAGCUUGCUUGUUGGGGUUGUAGGACACUCUAUACGGAGUUACAAAGGACGACAUUAGACGAAUCAUCUGGAAAGAUGAAUCAAAGAAGGUAAUAAUCCUGUAGUCGAAAAUGUUGUCUCUCUUGAGUGGAUCCUGAGUACGACGGAGCACGUGAAAUUCCGUCGGAAUCUGGGAGGACCAUCUCCUAAGGCUAAAUACUCUCUAGUGACCGAUAGUGAACCAGUACCGUGAGGGAAAGGUGAAAAGCACCCCGGAAGGGGAGUGAAAUAGAACCUGAAACCGUGUGCUUACAAGUAGUCAGAGCCCGUUAAUGGGUGAUGGCGUGCCUUUUGUAGAAUGAACCGGCGAGUUACGAUUUGAUGCAAGGUUAAGCAGUAAAUGUGGAGCCGUAGCGAAAGCGAGUCUGAAUAGGGCGUUUAGUAUUUGGUCGUAGACCCGAAACCAGGUGAUCUACCCUUGGUCAGGUUGAAGUUCAGGUAACACUGAAUGUAGGACCGAACCGACUUACGUUGAAAAGUGAGCGGAUGAACU